UACGUAGGUGGCAAGCGUUGUCCGGAAUUACUGGGUAUAAAGCGCGUGUAGGCGGCAGACCAAGUCGGCGGUGAAAGCGCCCGGCUCAACUGGGCGAGGUCCGUGGAAACUGGUCAGCUGGAGGACGGUAGAGGCGAGUGGAAUUCCCGGUGUAGUGGUGAAAUGCGUAGAGAUCGGGAGGAACACCUGUGGCGAAGGCGGCUCGCUGGGCCGGUCCUGACGCUGAGACGCGAAGGCGUGGGGAGCGAACGGG
rnacentral:rRNA from 1 species